UCACGAAAGUGGGUUGUACUAGAAGUCUGCGCGCUGACCCGCAAGGGAGGCAGCGGCCCAAGGUAUGACUCAUGAUUGGGGUG
rnacentral:rRNA from 1 species